rnacentral:rRNA from 1 species
AUUGAACGCUGGCGGCAGGCCUCACCCAUGCAAGUCGACCGAGUAGCGGACGGGGGAGUAAUGUCUGGGACACUGCCCGAUGGAGGGGGAUAACUACUGGAAACUGUAGCUAAUACCGCAUACAAUCGGAUUCGCCCCGAUCGGAUUAGCUAGUAGGUGGGGUAACGGCUCACCUAGGCGACGAUCCCUAGCUGGUCUGAGAGGAUGACCAGCCACACUGGAACUGAGACACGGUCCAGACUCCUACGGGAGGCAGCAGUGGGGAAUAUUGCACAAUGGGCGCAAGCCUGAUGCAGCAAUGCCGCGUGUAUGAAGAAGGCUUUCGGGUUGUAAAGUACUUUCAGCGAGGAGGCGUUACUCGCAGAAGAAGCACCGGCUAACUCCGUGCCAGCAGCCGCGGUAAUAC